rnacentral:tRNA from 1 species
GGCGAGUUGGGCGGGCAGGGCGGGGCGCUCGGACUGUUCCUGCGGUGCCGGUUCCGGUUCCGGCACCGGUUCC